rnacentral:rRNA from 1 species
GACGAACGCUGGCGGCGUGCUUAACACAUGCAAGUCGAGCGGAAAGGCCCUUCGGGGUACUCGAGCGGCGAACGGGUGAGUAACACGUGAGUAACCUGCCCCAGACUUUGGGAUAACCCUCGGAAACGGGGGCUAAUACCGGAUACGACACAGCUUCGCAUGGGGUCUGUGUGGAAAGUUUUUCGGUUUGGGAUGGGCUCGCGGCCUAUCAGCUUGUUGGUGGGGUGAUGGCCUACCAAGGCGACGACGGGUAGCCGACCUGAGAGGGCGACCGGCCACACUGGGACUGAGACACGGCCCAGACUCCUACGGGAGGCAGCAGUGGGGAAUAUUGCACAAUGGGCGGAAGCCUGAUGCAGCGACGCCGCGUGAGGGAUGACGGCCUUCGGGUUGUAAACCUCUUUCAGCAGGGACGAAGCGUAAGUGACGGUACCUGCAGAAGAAGCGCCGGCCAACUACGUG